UCAUCAGUAUCAUCUGCUCUUCUUGUUACUUUGUCACUGCUGACUUCUGUGGCUUCUCUCCCACACCUAGGCUUUGGCUAGCCUAGACCCGGGAAGGAGAUGAACCUGAG
ensembl:miRNA